rnacentral:rRNA from 1 species
UACGUAGGGUGCGAGCGUUAAUCGGAAUUACUGGGCGUAAAGCGUGCGCAGGCGGUUCGCUGUGUCUGCGGUGAAAGCCCCGGGCUCAACCUGGGAAUGGCCGUGGAAACUGGCGAGCUGGAGUGUGGCAGAGGGGGGUGGAAUUCCACGUGUAGCAGUGAAAUGCGUAGAGAUGUGGAGGAACACCGAUGGCGAAGGCAGCCCCCUGGGCUGACACUGACGCUCAGGCACGAAAGCGUGGGGAGCAAACAGG